rnacentral:rRNA from 1 species
GAUGAACGCUAGCUACAGGCUUAACACAUGCAAGUCGAGGGGAAACGGCAUUGAGUGCUUGCACUCUUUGGACGUCGACCGGCGCACGGGUGAGUAACGCGUAUCCAACCUUCCCAUUACUGUGGGAUAACCUGCCGAAAGGCAGACUAAUACCGCAUAGUCUUCGAUGACAGCAUCAGAUUUGAAGUAAAGAUUUAUCGGUAAUGGAUGGGGAUGCGUCUGAUUAGCUUGUUGGCGGGGUAACGGCCCACCAAGGCGACGAUCAGUAGGGGUUCUGAGAGGAAGGUCCCCCACAUUGGAACUGAGACACGGUCCAAACUCCUACGGGAGGCAGCAGUGAGGAAUAUUGGUCAAUGGACGGAAGUCUGAACCAGCCAAGUAGCGUGCAGGAUGACGGCCCUAUGGGUUGUAAACUGCUUUUGUAUGGGGAUAAAGUUAGGGACGUGUCCCUAUUUGCAGGUACCAUACGAAUAAGGACCGGCUAAUUCCGUGCCAGCAGCCGCGGUAAUACGGAAGGUCCAGGCGUUAUCCGGAUUUAUUGGGUUUAAAGGGAGCGUAGGCUGGAGAUUAAGUGUGUUGUGAAAUGUAGACGCUCAACGUCUGAAUUGCAGCGCAUACUGGUUUCCUUGAGUACGCACAACGUUGGCGGAAUUCGUCGUGUAGCGGUGAAAUGCUUAGAUAUGACGAAGAACUCCGAUUGCGAAGGCAGCUGACGGGAGCGCAACUGACGCUUAAGCUCGAAGGUGCGGGUAUCAAACAGG